GUUAACUCUAUUCACAGUGACAAACUAAACCUUAAUUGAACUGCCUUUCUUUUAAAUCUAUGCACAAGAUUGCAAAUAGAUAAAAACCAAGGACAGCAAAGAGAAACAGAACCACCACCACCACCAAGGACAGCGCACAUAAAACAAUCAAAGGAAGACACUGCACAGUUAAGGUAGAGCAAGGACGACUAUGGAAGGAAGUUGGGGACUCACAGAACAACCGUACGGCAGAAUCUCUGAAACAGUCCAUCUUCCUUUGACGUUGAGGAAGUGAAUAUGGAUGGAGUUUGCUUUCUGUUGGUUCCUCACAAAGGAGCAACAUCAUGCAAAAAGCCU